rnacentral:rRNA from 1 species
AUUGAACGCUGGCGGCAGGCUUAACACAUGCAAGUCGAGCGGAGUGAUGGUGCUUGCACUAUCACUUAGCGGCGGACGGGUGAGUAAUGCUUAGGAAUCUGCCUAUUAGUGGGGGACAACAUCUCGAAAGGGAUGCUAAUACCGCAUACGUCCUACGGGAGAAAGCAGGGGAUCACUUGUGACCUUGCGCUAAUAGAUGAGCCUAAGUCGGAUUAGCUAGUUGGUGGGGUAAAGGCCUACCAAGGCGACGAUCUGUAGCGGGUCUGAGAGGAUGGUCCGCCACACUGGGACGGAGACACGGCCCAGACUCCUACGGGAGGCAGCAGUGGGGAAUAUUGGACAAUGGGGGGAACCCUGAUCCAGCCAUGCCGCGUGUGUGAAGAAGGCCUUAUGGUUGUAAAGCACUUUAAGCGAGGAGGAGGCUCUUUUGGUUAAUACCCAAGAUGAGUGGACGUUACUCGCAGAAUAAGCACCGGCUAACUCUGUGCCAGCAGCCGCCGCCG